rnacentral:rRNA from 1 species
AGUGAACGCUGGCGGUAUGCCUAACACAUGCAAGUCGAACGGCAGCACAGUAAGAGCUGGCUCUUACGGGUGGCGAGUGGCGGACGGUGGAGGAAUACAUCGGAAUCUACUUUUUCGGGGGGGAUAACGUAGGGAAACGUACGCUAAUACCGCAUACGACCUACGGGGGAAAGCAGGGGAUCUUCGGACCUUGCGCGAGGGAAUGAGCCGAUGUCGGAUUAGCUAGUUGGCUGGGUAAAGGCCCACCAAGGCGACGAUCCGUAGCUGGUCUGAGAGGAUGAUCCGCUACACUGGAACUGAGACACGGUCGAGACUCCUACGGGAGGCCGCAGUGGGGAAUAUUGCACAAUGGGCGAAAGCCUGAUCCAGCAAUACCGCGUGGGUGAAGAAGGACUUCGGGUUGUAAAGCCAUUUUGUUGGGAAAGAAAAGCAGCAGGUUAAUACCCCGCUGUUAUGACGGUACCCAAAGAAUAAGCACCGGCUAACUUCGUG